UCAAGUUUUGCUUAAAAUACAUGAUUUCAAUUCAGAAUUGAAUGCUAAUCAUGGAAAUCGAGACUUUCCUCCAUAGGUGGUGUGACGUUCGUGGGAGUAUCAGCACUAAUCCCACAUAGUCUUCACGACUUAACGCGAAUGUUCGGACUGUCAAUGACACACCCUCUCCGUCCUUCUGAUUGCCUCUCCCAAGGACCUUCGAGCGCCACCACAGAAGGAAAUUAUAUAAUCUCAUUCUACUGGGCUGCCAAUCGCCAAAGUCAUUGCAUCAGCAAAUUUCUAUUUUUUCAGAUGACAUAGCGGCAGAGUUCACCGUCACAUUUUCCUAUAUUUAUGUGUGUUGAUUACGUAGGGCGAUGCAAAGGCCUACUCUAGGUUUGCCAAAGACGGAUAUCCCAUGUCAUUAGUUUUGCCGGAAGAGCAUACGGUUUCCGGGAUUUUUAUGGCGACCAGGCCGGACCCUAUCGGGAACUUCGCGAACGGAGUGAGGGCCCCUAGUUUAAAAAAUGACUGAACAAAGAAAAUGUAGACCAAUAGCAGUAGACGAAACAAUGUCCAUACGAAACAACAAACAAUGUCCAUCAGCUAUAGCGGCAUAGCCUAUUCUGAUAAUAGAUUGACUGCAGCGCCACUGUGGUGAGUAAGGGAGUCUGUAUGGUACCGACAGGCCGUCGGUGUCGGUGAAAUAGCCAAAUAUGAAGUCGAGCACCAAAAAUCUGUUGGUGGAAUAGGCUCGACCACUCAUUUCACCUAAUGCAUAGCGUGGAGGAAAACUUGAAAUUAGAUAAUGUAGUCUCGUGCUAUGACAUGAGAAAUAAUACCAGUCUCUACUGGCGCGCUAGUAGCAACGACAACCAGGUUGCCAGAAUCGCAACUGCUGUGAGCACCUGCCAUCUGUUGACAAAAAGACGAAAAAAAGGGACACAAAGUAGUGGUUAUUCCAGUUAUCUAGACACAAUUUCUAUCGGGAAAUUAAAAACCUUGCAACUACCUAGAUUGAAAAGAAAUACGGGAAACAGAGAACUUCCCAGCUUUUAUUGUUAAAUGACAAAUGUAUUCUAACGCAACAUAGUAGGUCUACUCCAACGCCGAAAUCUGACUGUGAAGCAAAUACACGAAGUUCGCUAUCCCUAAACUAGCAGAAAUCAGUUUGCCACGGUCUUUGUCUGUUUUACCAUACUUUUAUUUUACUCCAAAA